UGAACUGNCAAGCUAGAGUGUGUCAGAGGGGGGUAGAAUUCCACGUGUAGCAGUGAAAUGCGUAGAGAUGUGGAGGAAUACCGAUGGCGAAGGCAGCCCCCUGGGAUAACACUGACGUUCAUGCUCGAAAGCGUGGGUAGCAGACAGGAUUAGAUACCCUGGUAGUCCACGCCCUAAACGAUGUCAAUUAGCUGUUGGGCAACUUGAUUGCUUAGUAGCGUAGCUAACGCGUGAAAUUGACCGCCUGGGGAGUACGGUCGCAAGAUUAAAACUCAAAGGAAUUGACGGGGACCCGCACAAGCGGUGGAUGAUGUGGAUUAAUUCGAUGCAACGCGAAGAACCUUACCUGGUCUUGACAUGUACGGAAUCUCUCAGAGACGGGAGAGUGCCUUCGGGAACCGUAACACAGGUGCUGCAUGACUGUCGUCAGCUCGUGUCGUGAGAUGUUGGGUUAAGUCCCGCAACGAGCGCAACCCUUGUCAUUAGUUGCCAUCAUUUAGUUGGGCACUCUAAUGAGACUGCCGGUGACAAACCGGAGGAAGGUGGGGAUGAUGUCAAGUCCUCAUGGCCCUUAUGACCAGGGCUUCACACGUCAUACAAUGGUCGGUACAGAGGGUCGCCAAGCCGCGAGGUGGAGCCAAUCUCACAAAACCGAUCGUAGUCCGGAUUGCACUCUGCAACUCGAGUGCAUGAAGUCGGAA
rnacentral:rRNA from 1 species